rnacentral:misc_RNA from 1 species
AACGCACCUUGCGCUCCUUGGUAUUCCGAGGAGCAUGCCUGUUUGAGUGUCAUUAAAUUCUCAACCCAUCCAGCUUUGUAAAUGAGUUGGUGUGUGGCUUGGAUAUUGGGGGUUUUUGCAGGUCUUGAAAAAAGAUCAGCUCCCCUUAAAUGCAUUAGCGGAACGGUUUGCGAUCUGUCACUGGUGUGAUAAUUAUCUACGCCAAAGAUGAACGCUCUCUGUCUGUUCAGCUUAUAAUAGUCCCAUUUUGUGGACAACUUAUUUGAAUAUUUGACCUCAAAUCAGGUAGGACUACCCGCUGAACUUAA